rnacentral:rRNA from 1 species
GACGAACGCUGGCGGCGUGCUUAACACAUGCAAGUCGAACGAAAAGACCCGGCUUUUGCUGGGUGCUCGAGAGGCGAACGGGUGUGUAUAACAUGUGUAUCCUGUCCCUGACAGUGGGAGAACUUCUCGAAACUGGGGCUAUUAUCGCAUAGGAUAUACUGCUGCACGUUGGGGGUUGGAGAGAUUCGGCUGUGGGGGAUGGACUCGAGGCUUAUCCGCUGGCUGGUCUAGUAGGGGCUUACCACGGCUUUGACGGGUAGGCGGCCUGAGAGAUUGAACGGCCACAUUGGGACUGAGAUACGGCCCAGACUCCUACGGGAGGCAGCAGUGGGAAAUAUUGCACAGUGGCCGGAAGUCUGAUGCAGCAACGCCCCGAUCGUGAUGCCGGCCUUCGGGUUGUAAACCGCUUUCGCAGUAAAUAAAGCGGGAGUGACGGUAAUGGGUAAGGAAGCACCGGCUAACUACGUG